AGCACAAAUCUGAAGAACCGAACACCCGUUUGAGCUGAAAACUUAAUCGAUUGGUCACUAGCUGGUGGUGACCUAUCGAUUAAGUUUUCAGCUCAAACGGGUGUUCGGUUCUUCAGUUUGUGC
rnacentral:pre_miRNA from 1 species